CAUGGUAUUGUCUUCUGGCAAAUUGAAGCUCGUAAGCAAAUAAAGAGGCUAAAUGGGUUAAAAUGAGUGCGAAAAAAAAACAACAACUAGUUUCAUGUAAACACGGUUGACAUCACGUGAUUGAAAUCAUCGUGAUUGAAAGUCAUUCCGGAUUCAUGUAAACACCCCUUAUUUUCCGUUUAUUUUCAAGUGUGUACUUAUUAUUUGCUCGUUUGUUUGAGAUUGUGACGUUUGUAUAAAUGUUUUCAUCGAUUCAACGGUUUUGCUAUGCUGGUAAGACAAAUUUCUAAUACAUAAAACAUUUCAAACUGUAUCAUUGAAAAUCAUCGUGGCUUGAAAAUGUUUCAAUUGACAUUUCUUCUGAUGAUGUCCGUGUUCAAUUUACAAGUUAACAAAGUCAGUAGUUGUCCGUCAGGCUGG